UCGUAACAAGGUCUCCGUUGGUGAACCAGCGGAGGGAUCAUUACCGAGUUUACAACUCCCAAACCCAAUGUGAACGUUACCAAACUGUUGCCUCGGCGGGGUCACGCCCCGGGUGCGUAAAAGCCCCGGAACCAGGCGCCCGCCGGAGGAACCAACCAAACUCUUUCUGUAGUCCCCUCGCGGACGUAUUUCUUACAGCUCUGAGCAAAAAUUCAAAAUGAAUCAAAACUUUCAACAACGGAUCUCUUGGUUCUGGCAUCGAUGAAGAACGCAGCGAAAUGCGAUAAGUAAUGUGAAUUGCAGAAUUCAGUGAAUCAUCGAAUCUUUGAACGCACAUUGCGCCCGCCAGUAUUCUGGCGGGCAUGCCUGUCCGAGCGUCAUUUCAACCCUCGAACCCCUCCGGGGGGUCGGCGUUGGGGAUCGGGACCCCUCACCGGGUGCCGGCCCUGAAAUACAGUGGCGGUCUCGCCGCAGCCUCUCCUGCGCAGUAGUUUGCACAACUCGCACCGGGAGCGCGGCGCGUCCACGUCCGUAAAACACCCAACUUCUGAAAUGUUGACCUCGGAUCAGGUAGGAAUACCCGCUGAACUUAAGCAUAUCA
rnacentral:misc_RNA from 1 species